rnacentral:tRNA from 1 species
GGCUUUAUAGUCACUGAUGAUAUUAGACUGCAAUUCUAAAGGAGUAGGAUUCUACUAAGGCUU